GCUUUCUUUGGCAAAGCUUAUAGUAAAACUGGAACAUUACAGAGAUAAUUAACAUUGUCCCUGCAAAGGAUGAUCCUUGUAUUCAUGAAGACAUUAAUUAAACU